rnacentral:rRNA from 1 species
UACAGAGGGGGCAAGCGUUGUUCGGAAUUACUGGGCGUAAAGGGCGCGUAGGCGGCCUGUUAAGUCGAACGUGAAAUCCCCGGGCUCAACCCGGGAACUGCGUCCGAUACUGGCAGGCUUGAAUCCGGGAGAGGGAUGCGGAAUUCCAGAUGUAGCGGUGAAAUGCGUAGAUAUCUGGAGGAACACCGGUGGCGAAGGCGGCAUCCUGGACCGGCAUUGACGCUGAGGCGCGAAAGCCAGGGGAGCAAACGGG